AUGGGCGCAUGCGCCUGGCCCGGCGCGAAAACGUCGCCUCUGCUGCGCGCGCGGGCGGUAGCGUGUCGAAGAAACAUCUCAAUAGACUGCGAUGCUACUGACGUGGAGAUGGCUGGAAGGAAAGCUCAGGAAAACUCUAAUGGAGAAGCCCUGGAUCUUUCUUUUGUAAAACAGACUCUUUUGGGAUCACAAGCUUUGGACCGAGAAAGUGAGGAUGCUUCAAAGAGUGGUUUCCAGAGCAAAGGUGACAUUGGUCUCUUGGAUCGUGCAAGCUUGACUGGGGAUCAGAGGAGGGACAUCCUAGUCAUUCAACAGUUGCUGCCUUCAGCUUUUCAGUUCCCUAAAAGGCUGGUGGAUUUGGGGGCUUGUCAGAAGUAUCAUCACUGCAGUGUGCAGCUCUUUCAAGAGUAUAUAUUUGCAUGUUACUCCCAGUAUCUGGACAGUGUUUUCUGUGGGCUGCCCUUCAUGUUCAACAGCAUCAAAGAUACAGUUUUGGUUUCCACUCUCUUGAGAGACUGGUUCAACAGCAAGAAAAUACUUGAGAGACACAGCAGAUCCAAAGAUCACAUUCACGCUGUAGCAAAGACAGAUGAAUCUGUUGCAUAUGAGCAGAUGAAAAGGUUGACAGUACGCAGUCAGCAUGCUCUGAAACAAGUCAUUGAAGUCAUUAAACUUUGUGGAAAACAGAAUGUUUGAAUGCACAAGUAAUGAACACCAAAAUUGUAUAGGCUUUACUGCAGAACUGGACCCAAAUUUGAGAGAACAACUUAGUUGUCUACCAUAUAAUAUGUUGAACACAUCAGAACAAACGCAAAAUGAACUCAUAAAGUUGGUAGGAUCCAUAUCCUGAGUAGGAUUAUAGAGGGGGGUAAAAGCAUCACCAUUUUUUAGUUCAAUGGUUGAUGCAGCCCUUGCCAUUUCAAGAAAAAAAAUUGUUGUUGACUUUAUGUUAUAUCCAUUAAAAUGAAGAUGAGCAAGUGGAACUCCAGGAAGAUUUCACUGAUUUUGUAGAUGCCUCAAAUACAACUUACAGAACUUUUUCUGGAAUAAAUAGCAACUUGGGGAUUACA
rnacentral:lncRNA from 1 species